rnacentral:rRNA from 1 species
AACGAACGCUGGCGGCAUGCCUAACACAUGCAAGUCGAACGAGACCUUCGGGUCUAGUGGCGCACGGGUGCGUAACGCGUGGGAACCUGCCCUUAGGUUCGGAAUAACUCCCCGAAAGGGGUGCUAAUACCGGAUAAUGUCUUCGGACCAAAGAUUUAUCGCCCUUGGCUGGGCCCGCGUUGGAUUAGCUAGUUGGUAGGGUAAAAGCCUACCAAGGCGACGAUCCAUAGCUGGUCUGAGAGGAUGAUCAGCCACACUGGGACUGAGACACGGCCCAGACUCCUACGGGAGGCAGCAGUGGGGAAUCUUGGACAAUGGGCGAAAGCCUGAUCCAGCAAUGCCGCGUGAGUGAUGAAGGCCUUAGGGUUGUAAAGCUCUUUUACCCGGGAUGAUAAUGACAGUACCGGGAGAAUAAGCUCCGGCUAACUCCGUG